ACUGCUCAGUAACACGUGGACAACCUGCCCUUAGGUUGGGUAUAAACCCGGAAACUGGGUAUAAUACCCGAUAGGUCUCGAUUGCUGGAAUGCAUCGAGAUUUAAAGCUCCGGCGCCUAAGGAUGGGUCUGCGGCCUAUCAGGUAGUAGUGGGUGUAGCGUACCUACUAGCCUACGACGGGUACGGGUUGUGAGAGCAAGAGCCCGGAGAUGGAUUCUGAGACACGAAUCCAGGCCCUACGGGGUGCAGCAGGCGCGAAAACUUUACAAUGCUGGCAACAGCGAUAAGGGAACCUCGAGUGCCAGGUUACAAAUCUGGCUGUCGAGAUGCCUAAAAAGCAUUUCAUAGCAAGGGCCGGGCAAGACCGGUGCCAGCCGCCGCGGUAACACCGGCGGCUCGAGUGGUAACCGUUAUUAUUGGGUCUAAAGGGUCUGUAGCCGGCCGGAUAAGUCUCUUGAGAAAUCUGGCAGCUUAACUGUCAGGCUUUCAGGAGAUACUGUCUGGCUCGAGGCCGGGAGAGGUGAGAGGUACUUCAGGGGUAGGGGUGAAAUCUUGUAAUCCUUGAAGGACCACCAGUGGCGAAGGCGUCUCACCAGAACGGACCUGACGGCAAGGGACGAAAGCUAGGGGCACGAACCGGAUUAGAUACCCGGGUAGUCCUAGCCGUAAACGAUACUCGCUAGGUGUCGGCCACGGUGCGACCGUUGUCGGUGCCGUAGGGAAGCCGUGAAGCGAGCCACCUGGGAAGUACGGCCGCAAGGCUGAAACUUAAAGGAAUUGGCGGGGGAGCAC
rnacentral:rRNA from 1 species